UGCAGUCGAGCGGUAGAGAAGGAGCUUGCUUCUUCUUGAGAGCGGCGGACGGGUGAGUAAUGCCUAGGAAUCUGCCUGGUAGUGGGGGACAACGUUUCGAAAGGAACGCUAAUACCGCAUACGUCCUACGGGAGAAAGUGGGGGAUCUUCGGACCUCACGCUAUCAGAUGAGCCUAGGUCGGAUUAGCUUGUAGGUGAGGUAAUGGCUCACCUAGGCAACGAUCCGUAACUGGUCUGAGAGGAUGAUCAGUCACACUGGAACUGAGACACGGUCCAGACUCCUACGGGAGGCAGCAGUGGGGAAUAUUGGACAAUGGGCGAAAGCCUGAUCCAGCCAUGCCGCGUGUGUGAAGAAGGUCUUCGGAUUGUAAAGCACUUUAAGUUGGGAGGAAGGGUUGUAGCUUAAUACGCUGCAACUUUGACGUUACCAACAGAAUAAGCACCGGCUAACUCUGUGCCAGCAGCCGCGGUAAUACAGAGGGUGCAAGCGUUAAUCGGAAUUACUGGGCGUAAAGCGCGCGUAGGCGGCUUGAUAAGAUGGGUGUGAAAUCCCCGGGCUUAACCUGGGAACUGCAUCCAUAACUGUCUGGCUAGAGUACAGUAGAGGGUGGUGGAAUUUCCUGUGUAGCGGUGAAAUGCGUAGAUAUAGGAAGGAACACCAGUGGCGAAGGCGACCACCUGGACUGAUACUGACGCUGAGGUGCGAAAGCGUGGGGAGCAAAC
rnacentral:rRNA from 1 species